AGAGUUUGAUCCUGGCUCAGGAUGAACGCUAGCUACAGGCUUAACACAUGCAAGUCGAGGGGCAGCGGGAUUGAAGCUUGCUUCAAUUGCCGGCGACCGGCGCACGGGUGAGUAACGCGUAUCCAACCUUCCGCAUACUCGGGGAUAGCCUUCUGAAAAGGAGAUUAAUACCCGAUGGUAUCAAGAGAUUGCAUGAUAACUUGAUUAAAGAACUUCGGUAUGCGAUGGGGAUGCGUUCCAUUAGGUAGUAGGCGGGGUAACGGCCCACCUAGCCAACGAUGGAUAGGGGUUCUGAGAGGAAGGUCCCCCACAUUGGAACUGAGACACGGUCCAAACUCCUACGGGAGGCAGCAGUGAGGAAUAUUGGUCAAUGGACGAGAGUCUGAACCAGCCAAGUAGCGUGAAGGAUGAAGGUUCUAUGGAUUGUAAACUUCUUUUAUAAGGGAAUAAAACCUCCCACGUGUGGGAGCUUGUAUGUACCUUAUGAAUAAGCAUCGGCUAACUCCGUGCCAGCAGCCGCGGUAAUACGGAGGAUGCGAGCGUUAUCCGGAUUUAUUGGGUUUAAAGGGAGCGCAGACGGGAGAUUAAGUCAGUUGUGAAAGUUUGCGGCUCAACCGUAAAAUUGCAGUUGAUACUGGUCUUCUUGAGUGCAGUUGAGGCAGGCGGAAUUCGUGGUGUAGCGGUGAAAUGCUUAGAUAUCACGAAGAACCCCGAUUGCGAAGGCAGCUUGCUAAACUGUAACUGACGUUCAUGCUCGAAAGUGUGGGUAUCAAACAGGAUUAGAUACCCUGGUAGUCCACACGGUAAACGAUGGAUACUCGCUGUUGGCGAUAUACUGUCAGCGGCCAAGCGAAAGCAUUAAGUAUCCCACCUGGGGAGUACGCCGGCAACGGUGAAACUCAAAGGAAUUGACGGGGGCCCGCACAAGCGGAGGAACAUGUGGUUUAA
rnacentral:rRNA from 1 species